rnacentral:rRNA from 1 species
AAGGUAGCGAAAUUCCUUGUCGGGUAAGUUCCGACCUGCACGAAUGGCGUAACGACGGCCACACUGUCUCCACCCGAGACUCAGUGAAAUUGAAAUCGCUGUUAAGAUGCAGUGUAUCCGCGGCUAGACGGAAAGACCCCGUGAACCUUUACUAUAGCUUCACAGUGAACUUUGAACCUAUUUGUGUAGGAUAGGUGGGAGGCUUUGAAGCGGUGACGCCAGUCAUCGUGGAGCCAAACUUGAAAUACCACCCUGGUAUGUUUGAGGUUCUAACUCAGGUCCGUAAUCCGGAUCGAGGACACUGUGUGGUGGGUAGUUUGACUGGGGCGGUCUCCUCCCAAAGAGUAACGGAGGAGCACGAAGGUAUGCUAAUCAUGGUCGGAAAUCAUGAGGUUAGUGCAAUGGCAUAAGCAUGCUUAACUGCGAGACAGACACGUCGAGCAGAUACGAAAGUAGGUCAUAGUGAUCCGGUGGUUCUGAAUGGAAGGGCCAUCGCUCAACGGAUAAAAGGUACUCCGGGGAUAACAGGCUGAUACCGCCCAAGAGUUCAUAUCGACGGCGGUGUUUGGCACCUCGAUGUCGGCUCAUCACAUCCUGGGGCUGGAGCAGGUCCCAAGGGUAUGGCUGUUCGCCAUUUAAAGUGGUACGCGAGCUGGGUUUAGAACGUCGUGAGACAGUUCGGUCCCUAUCUGCCGUGGGCGCAGGAGAUUUGAGAAGAGUUGCUCCUAGUACGAGAGGACCGGAGUGAACGAACCUCUGGUGUUCCGGUUGUCACGCCAGUGGCAUUGCCGGGUAGCUACGUUCGGACAGGAUAACCGCUGAAAGCAUCUAAGCGGGAAGCCCCCUUCAAGAUGAGAUCUCACAGGACUUUAAGUCCCUAAAGAGCCGUUCAAGACUAGGACGUUGAUAGGUUGGGUGUGUAAGCACGGUAACGUGUUGAGCUAACCAAUACUAAUUGCUCGUGAGGCUUGACCAU